rnacentral:rRNA from 1 species
GGUGCAGCAGGCGCGAAAACUUUACAAUGCUGGCAACAGCGAUAAGGGAACCUCGAGUGCCAGGUUACAAAUCUGGCUGUCGAGAUGCCUAAAAAGCAUUUCAUAGCAAGGGCCGGGCAAGACCGGUGCCAGCCGCCGCGGUAACACCGGCGGCUCGAGUGGUAACCGUUAUUAUUGGGUCUAAAGGGUCUGUAGCCGGCCGGAUAAGUCUCUUGAGAAAUCUGGCAGCUUAACUGUCAGGCUUUCAGGAGAUACUGUCUGGCUCGAGGCCGGGAGAGGUGAGAGGUACUUCAGGGGUAGGGGUGAAAUCUUGUAAUCCUUGAAGGACCACCAGUGGCGAAGGCGUCUCACCAGAACGGACCUGACGGCAAGGGACGAAAGCUAGGGGCACGAACCGGAUUAGAUACCCGGGUAGUCCUAGCCGUAAACGAUACUCGCUAGGUGUCGGCCACGGUGCGACCGUUGUCGGUGCCGUAGGGAAGCCGUGAAGCGAGCCACCUGGGAAGUACGGCCGCAAGGCUGAAACUUAAAGGAAUUGGCGGGGGAGCACCACAACGGGUGGAGCUUGCGGUUUAAUUGGAUUCAACGCCGGAAAUCUUACCGGGACCGACAGCAAUAUGAAGGCCAGGCUGAAGACUUUGCCGGAUUAGCUGAGAGGUGGUGCAUGGCCGUCGUCAGUUCGUACUGUGAAGCAUCCUGUUAAGUCAGGCAACGAGCGAGACCCA